GACGAACGCUGGCGGCGUGCCUAAUACAUGCAAGUUGAGCGCUGAAGCGUGGUACUUGUACCUACUGCAUGAGCAGCGGACGGGUGAGUAACGCGUGGAGAAUCUGCCUUUGAGCGUGGGAUAACAUCUGGAAACGAAUGCUAAUACCGCAUAAUAACUUUAAACACAAGGUUUAAUUUUGAAAGAUGCAUUUGCAUCACUCAAUGGUUAUCCCGCGCUGUAUUAGCUUGUUGGUAAGGUAAAGGCUUACCAAGGCAAUGAUGCGUAGCCGACCUGAGAGGGUGAUCGGCCACACUGGAACUGAGACACGGUCCAGACUCCUACGGGAGGCAGCAGUAGGGAAUCUUCCGCAAUGGGCGAAAGCCUGACGGAGCAACGCCGCGUGAGUGAUGAAGGUCUUCGGAUCGUAAAACUCUGUUAUUAGGGAAGAACAAAUGUGUAAGUAACUAUGCACGUCUUGACGGUACCUAAUCAGAAAGCCACGGCUAACUACGUG
rnacentral:rRNA from 1 species